GGAGAACAAACUGUAGGGAGGGGAGAGUGGGGGCAGGAGAUGGUUGGGAAGCUAGUGCAGUCGGCCAGGCAAGGAGCAAUAGUGACUUGGCCUGGGUGGGUCACUUUGUGAUGAGGAUUAAUGAAAAGGCCAGACUGGGGUAUUUUUUGAAGCUAGAGUUUGAUAAUUGGUUGUGAGGGGUGGGAGAGAGAGAUGAAUCCUGGCCAUUUAACUGCAGUGAAAAGACUGGAGGAAUAGUUGGACAAGCGGAGGGACGGGGCAUACGAGUUCUGUUUUGAACAUGACAGGCCUCCGAGGUGUCCACUAGGCAGACGGGAUGUCAGGGCAGGGUUACCACCAUGUAGAUGGUCACUGCUAAGAGCUGGGCACUCCUCCAAACACAUACAUUAAAUCAUUUAGUCUUCUCAGUAACCUAUGAGGCGAGAGCUGUAGCUAUCCCUGUCCAUAGGGGGCGUAUCCUGUGUGCCAUUUCAGAUGCCCGCGGCCUCACCUCUUGUUCCAGCCAUUGCCCCAGUGACCAGUUUUGCACAGGUCUUGACCAGUGCCGUGUAAAUGUCGCCUGGCAGGGCCUCUCCACAUGCCUCUCGCCCAACACCAUGAUGGGGGGACACCCAUGGAACCUGCUUGGCAUUAACACAUGAGCCGCCCAGAAGUGAAGGGGAGCUAACAUUCCAUGGGAUGACUCGAGAGGAGCCAAUGGAUAACUGUCCCCCUUCUUCCAGUGAGUUCUGAAGCCCAGAACCAUAUCCUGCUCCACAAGCCUCGUCCUUGGCAAGAAGUUGCACCUGCCCAGAGAGAAAACCUUUUGAAACUGGCACAAAGGCACUGGAGAGACUGGCAGGGCCCCCUACUUGACGAUCUGGCUCAUCCAUCUGCACACUGACCACGCUAAGAGCUGUCUGCAGUGAUGGAAACCUUCUCUAGCUGUGCUGUCCUCUAUAGUGGCACCAGCUGCCUGUGGCUACUGAGCACUUCAACUGUGGCUGCAGAGACUAUGUUAAAUUGUAUUUAAUCAUAAUUAAUUUAAUUGUAAACAACUACAUGUGGCUAGUGGUUUCUGUACUGGGCACUGCAGGUGCACAUUUCCUGCUGGCCAUGGACAGUAAGCUCCAUAAGAGACUAAUUGUGCCUGGUUUGCUUAUAGGCUUAUCCUCAGCACCUGCACCAGCCUAGAAUAUGAUUGGCACUCUAUUAAUUAAAAGUUCCCAGGUAAAUGAAUUAGUGGAUUCUCUGUUUCCUCCACUAUGCCACAACCUCCUUAAGGGCAGAGAUGGUGUCUUCAAAAAAAAAAAAUUCUGGUCAAAAACACAUAAGAUCUACCACCUUCACCAUUGUUGUGUCCAGUUCAGUAGUAUUAACUACACUUACAUUGUGAUACAACAAAAGAUUGUGUCUUUUUACAUUCUUAGGACCCAGCACAGUGUCUGGCACAUAAUCUUAGUAAACACUGGCAGAGCACAUGCCUUUGCCAAGGCCAGAACAGAGGUUCAGUGCCAUCCAUUACCACCCUUUCACACAUCCACUGGGGCUUUAAAAACAACCUGGAAUGAAAGCUGUUGAGUCUAGAGAAAUGGGC
rnacentral:lncRNA from 10 species